UAUGAAGAGCCUGAUUAAAGGGUAAUCUUGAUAGGAUUAAUCAUGUGAAAUUCACCUUC
rnacentral:tRNA from 1 species